AUUAUCCAAAGUAAUUGCAAGCACCUUUUCAUCAAGAUCCCAAUCAUAUAUGCAUUUUUCUAAUGCAUCUUCGAUAACAAAACUUGUGUGAGGAUAUGCUAGUUUCUUAAAGCUAAUAAUUCUUUUGUUUAAGAUGAAACCAUCAUCGAUAUAAUGUGCUGUAAUGACCAUAUAACCAAGCUUUUGAUUUGAUGUCCAUAAAUCAGUUGUGAAGCACACACAAGAAGUUAAUUUUUGAAGACUAUUCUGUAUCUUUUUCUUCUCACUUUCGUAGUAAGCAAGACAAUCUUUUUUAACCGUCUUCCUUCCUACAAUAUUAUAUAAUGGUUGAAGAGAUUUGAUCCACUCGGUAAGAACCGGAUUCUCCGCAAAAAGAAAUGAAAGUUCACCGUAAAUAAUCAACUUUGCAAACAGCCUCCGACUGUGUUCCAGAUUAAAUGUAAAACAUUUAAUUUCAUCUCUUGCAGAAUUGGAUAGCAACAUUUGUCUAAUAUCCUUAUUCGGUCGCUUAUUGCAAGCAUGUUCUAAGUGACGAGUAAGAUGAGUUGUCCCCGAUUUACUACCAGCUGAUAAUAAAUGUUUGCAAUGAUUGCAUUUUGCCUUAGGACCAUUUGGAGUAUUUUCAAUCAUAAACUCGUCCCAUACUUUAGAUCUUCUCUUACUCUGUUUGGCUUCUUCAUUUUCCUUCUUAUUUAUUAUACUUUCAUUAGGCCCAACAAUUUUCGUAGUAUUAUUUUCAUCCACAUUUUGAUUAGACAUGAUGAUUGGCAACCAAAUAAUCCUGUUUCAUAAUUUAAUACACGUGCUAUUAAAUAUGAGUAAAGAUGAAUGAAAUCUUAAAAAAAAAAACACAAAUGAGACCUAAAAAAUUAAUUAGUAAAAAAUAAUUUAUAAAAAGUAGAAUGUGUAAAUUUUUGUUAUUUGUUCAUGAGUCGUAACUACACCAAUACAAAAGAACGAUAAACAAAUAGCACAAAUCUGACUAUAAAAAAUAAAAAUCAUACCGGUGUCGUUGUAUCGCGGAUGCGAGGGCAACCUGUCUGCCGCGAACUAACCGGCCCCGCCGUAGGUUGUUUCUAAGGCGAGUGGUCAUUCAUGGUAGAGAUAAAAUUUGUUUAUGUUUUAUUUUGAAAUCAGGAUUAUAGGUUCAUGGCUUCCAACAGACUCAAGAAUUUGUUGUUAAUUACCCCACACUUUCGGUGUUAAGGAACCCUCGAUUAAGAGACCAAAUAUAAAUGCUGAUAAUAAAAAAGACAAAACAGGCAAAUAAAAUUUUAUUGAUAUGAUUUGCCGUUUACAUGGCUUAAGCAGGGGCAUACCCCCACUNUUUUUUUGAAAAGGAAUGAUACCUUGAUUAAGGUAUGAAAAUUUUUUUUCUUUCCUUCCUUUUUUUGAAGUGGGAUAUUUUUUCAAAUUUUACAUUUUUCCCUUUUUUUUCUUUUUUUUUAUUUUUUUUUAUUUCAUUUUUUUUUACUCGAACACAACCUCCUUGCAGGAAAUCGGCAACGAUUGAAGAUCGUUAAGAUGGUCAAGAUGGCGACUGAUGUAGGAUAGGAACUUCUCACGUAAGGAUAGAACGUUUAAUUAAUUGUGACAUAUCCGUAUAUGUGAUUUUUUAAAGGAAUAUUAUGGUAUUAAUUUUAAAAUUUUAAAAUUAUCCUUAAAUUAUGUACAUAGAUGAUAGAACGUCUAAUUAUGUACAUAGAAUUAACUAACUAUAUUAAUAAUAAUACAAUUUAAUAUAUCCUAAUAUGGAACUAAAUAUUUUGUUAAUAUAUAAUAUAUCCUCAUAUAUAUAAAUAUAUAUCAUUAUUCAUUAAUAACAAUAUAUACUAUAUAUGAAUAUAUGAUAUUCAUAUACUAUAUCAUUUAUUCCUUUUAUAGAUAAAUAUAUAUAUAUAUAUAUAUAUAAUAUAAUUAAAUAUUUUAUAUUGAUAAUUAAUAUAUCGGGCUUUCGGGUCGGGCUCGGGCCGGGCUUGGGCAUGCCCAAAUAGGCCCAAAUUUUUUUCGGGCCUAAAUUUUUAAGCCCGGCCCGAACCCAAAGUUAUAUUUUCCAUACCCAAAGCCCGGCCCAAACAUGGCCCAUCGGGCCGGGCCUUGUUUAGGCCCGGGCCCAGUUCCACCCCUAAAAGUAGGUACUACCUGAAUGCUAUGCAACUCGGCGAACUACCGAUCAAUAAAAGAAUGCGAAGCACCAGUAUCAAAUAAUGCACGAACAUGAAUACAUAAAGCAUAAUGAUACCUGCUACGACCUCCUCCGCUGCUACGGCCUCUUCAGUCUGGACGGCAUACAUGCGCCCACUCGAACCCUGUCGAGAACUCUCAGACUGCCGCUGUCCCGGUGGUCGUCUGUAUUGCGAGGGUGCUGACGGGGUCCCCUGGCUCGGAGCUGAAGAUGCAGGGGCUGAUGCCGAUGAGGGUGCAGGUGAAGAACCUCUCGGGCACUCUGAACGAAAGUGGCCCUCCUGACCACAAAGGAAGCACCUACCUCCACGUUGUGGACACUAUGGUGGAAAGUGAGGCCCACCACAAAUGACACAACGUGGCUGUCGACGACGCUCGGGUGCUCCACGGGGUGCUGAAGAACCUCGACCUCUUGACUGGCCCGGCUGGCCCCUCGGAUACUUUGGCGGUCUCCUGAAGGGUUGCUCACCACUGCUCUCAGCUGCUGGCCUCUUCCNAUAUGGUUCAUGGAUUUGGUGUAUGGAUUUGGUUCAUGAACUUGGAUAUGGUUCAUGGGUUUGGUGUAUGGAUUUGGUUCAUGAACUUGGAUAUGGUUCAUGGGUUUGGUGUAUAGAUUUGGUUCAUGAUUCAAGAAAUUUGGGUUUAGUUUAACGACUUUUCGGUCAUUUGGAUUCGGGUUUAGUUUAGCGAUUUUUCGGUCGUUUGGAUUUGGGUUUAGUUUAACGACGUUUCGGUCGAUUGAAAUCGAGGUAUUCAUGAAACUGAUUCAUGAAAUUAAAUAAUGCUAGGAGCCCAUUUGUAAAGUCCACCAAGUUAUUUGAUGAAAUUAAUUCAUGAUAGGGGCCAUUUGGAGAGCCCAUUGGUUCAUGAUAUUAAUUUAUGACAAAGAGGACCCAUGAAACUAAUUCAUAGAAUUAAUUCGUGAUAGGGGAUACAUUUGGAAAGCCCAAAAAAUUAAUUCAUAGAAUUAAUUCAUAGUGAGGGGCCCAUUUGGGAAGCCCAUGAAUUUGGUUUGGGUUAGAGGUAUUUGGGUGACAUAGGUUUGAUAGAUUUGGUUAGGUUUUAUUUGUAGGUUUUGGAUUUUGGAUCUUUAUUCGUGGACUUUGUGGACUUUGGGUUUUAGAUCUUUAUUUGUGGACUUUGUAGAUUUUGGUUUUUUUUGGGUUUUUUUAUUUGUGGACUUUGUGGGUUUCGUUUUUUGGGUUUUUAUUUGUGGACUUUGUGGGUUUGGGUUGUGGAUCUUUAUUUGUGGACUUUGUGGGAUUGGGUUAAGGGAUUUUAUUCAUAUAUUUUUUAUUGGCUUUGGAUCCAAAUCUGAAUGUGGGCUGAAAUGGAUUUCAGACUUUGCAUAUUUUAGGCCUUAGACCCGAAUCUAUAUGUGGGUUGAAGUAUGCUGCGGGCUUUACAUGUUCUGGGCCUGAACCUGUAUAUGGGCUGGACUUUUAUUGAUUUAUAUCUGCACAUGGGCUGUGUCACGCCCCGGGACCGGCGGAGGCCCUCCCGGUAGCGUGCCCAGACCCGCCAUAUGUCUACACAUAUAAGGCGUCUACAAUAAAAGCGGAAGUAAAAACAAGUAAUAGAACAAAUAGAAGAAGUGAAAUAACUAGCAACUAAUGAUAUCAGAGCGAGUAUAGUUCUACUUCUACACCAAAGGAAAGAAAUAAAGUUAGACAGUGAAAGAAGUCAUAAGUAAUACAAAAUCUGUCUCCAAAAUACAAAAGUGGUGGUCUCUAGUACACUGGUAGAACUCUCAACCUCUCGCAAAAAGAAAUAAAAAUCGAGAGGUAGACCACCUAACAACUCGUCCUCGAAGGAAGCUAGCUCGAAACAACUCCCUUCCCGCGAUCCCUGGCCUCACCCUGAGUGGAAGGCUCUGUAAAACAACGAGAAAAAGAGGGCGUGAGAACUAUAAUUUAUAGUUCCCAGUGGGCAAUUACUGACCUCAGCUCAUCGCACCACUAGGCCCCAAAAGAAAAGGAGUAAGUAUAAUAAACAACAAUAAGGAUAACAGUACAACGGUAAAAAAAAAGCAUAAUUGAAGUGCUACCUAUAUGUCUCAAGUAAGCAUGAUGCCAUGGUGAUGUACAUCUACGCUAUCAUAAGAUAAUAAGUCCAAUGCAUACUAAUAUGUCUCAACACAUUAAACAAGUAAACCUCACGAUGCAGUAUGUCAAUGCAUAAGGGUAUACACUAUCCAAAAGACCGAGUAUACUACUAAGCAAUAAUGGAACUGGCAAGUAUACUAAAUGUACCAAUGCUAUAUCAUGAGCAUGUCCAAGCAAUCCAACUACUAAUCCUAUCUAGUAGUGAUAGUCCAUAUACAACGCCGUGUCGAUUUCCAUUUCCAAUUUAAGGACCUACUCAAGGUAGUCCAGCUUGUGCCGCCUAAGUGUCUGUGGUAGCCCGACAUCCCUACUCUUGGAAUGUGUCUGUCCCACUCGACCCCGUAGGCUUCUCAAUACCGCACGAGCGAACGUAGUCGCGUAGGCUAACUCCGGAGUGCCGGCUUGUAGGGAGCGACCCUCACAAGCAUGUGCGAAUGAGCACAAAUGGCAAGCAAGCAUAGUCCAAGUCUCAAAUAUCCAAUCCUCAUGUCUCUAACAUGGUAUGGUCACUAGCAUCCCGAAGAUCUAGUUUAAGUCACAAUGUGAAGUUUCAACAUUUGCUACGCCUAGUGCCCCUUGAUGACACUUAGGCAAUUUGAUGUUCAACAUGUAUUCCAAAUCCCUCAAUGGCCCUAUCCACUAGGUUCUCACAUGUCCCGAGCUCAAUGCCGCUUGAUGACAUUAGCUCUCUAGUUCACAUACCUUCUAAAUGGCAAUCUUGUCAUCUUUCAUGUCACAAGUAAACUCAAGUUUAAAUGCAUGAAUCCGAACUCAUUUAUACUAUAGAAGCAUGAAACCAAGUCUCAUAAAGAAUGCUAAAUGCAACCAAAGAUCUCCCAAGCAACUCUCUACUACAUAGAGGUCCAAAAUUUCAUCAUAUAUAACAUAUGCAUUUUAAGCAUUCUAAAAAUCAUAAUAAAUACAUUUGAUAUGAACAUGCAUGCUUUUUCAAUUUACGGAACAUAAAUAACCAUAUAUGAGAAUUUCUCAUAUGUAGGCUAGGUCAAACCCACCGAACCGUCGCGUAGGGUCUCGAUUCGCCGAACAAAGUUGUCCCCGAGUCUCAAAUUACCCUAAAAGUAAUGAGCGACAAGAUACACGGGCAUUACGAUCAUUUAUAAGAUCAAACUUUAACAAUUUUAGCAAAAGGGCUAAAACUCACCUAAUGAGUGGAAAAUCUCUCUCAAGCUCCAAAAGAGAGCUAAAUCCCUUCCAAUCUAUCCUAGAGGAAGGUUCUAAUCCAAUCAAUCAAGCUCCAAAAGCCCUAAAAUCAAAACGCCCAAAAUAAGCCCUAAAUCUCCAAUCUAGGGUUUCAUCUAGUAUAAAGCUUCAAAACCAAAAUCUAGAGGGAGAGAAGGGGUUACUAACCUCUUAGAAGCUUCAAUCAAGGUUCUAAACCCUUUAAAUUCCAAGAUCAAACCUCCACCUAGCUCCAAGUCCAAGCUCUAAUGGUGGAAAAGCCUCCAAUACCCAAAAAGGAGCAAAAAGAGGUGUUUAAACUCUAAAAAUCCAAGCAAAAUCAAGGAAAAGGAAUAAGGAGGUGUGGAGAGCUCCCUUACCUUCCUCCUUGCUGGUGCCAAGCUCAGGGAAGACCCCUAGGGCGUGGGGGUACUAAUAGAGAUGCCACAAUUGCGAAAAACCCCCUGCAGUUCAAACUGCUCAGAUUCUGCCAAAGUGUACCGGUACACGGAAAAGUGUACCGGUACACAUCUUACGAAAAUGCAAACCCGAGGCUCGGGUUUGAAAUCUGCCACAAGUGUACCGGUACGACCAUCAAGGGUGUACCGGUACAAAGUGUGUACCGGUACAACCAUCGACCUGUCACCGGUUACACCUCGUGCAGAAUGCAAUCCGAGGGUAGGCUAAGUCCAACUCUUUAGUGAGCUUAGCGCUACAUAAAAUACUACAAUUCUCGGGAUGCGAGCCAUAGGUCGGAACACUGUCAACGACCCACCAGAAAGUCUGGAAAAACUCGGGACACUGUCCAAACACUCGAACCCCGCAAUUUGCAAAGGCACAGUGCGUCACAUACACCCCUCCUAAAAAAGAGUUUCAUCCGCGAAACUCGAAAGCAAACGCCGUACCUCAAGGCUCUAUCUGAAAAAGAUGGGAAUAGCGCUCCUGGAGCGCGCUCUCUAGCUCCCAAGUGGCCUCGCGCUCAUCGUCGUUGCUCCAACGCACCUUCACGUAGGGGAUUUCCCGGUUCCGCAAUCUUUUUACCUCGCGAGCCAAAAUCCUCAAGGGUUGCUCCUCAAAGCUCAAAUCCUCCCGCAGCUCCAUAGGUGUAACAUCCAACACAUGAGCCGGGUCGUGGAUGUACUUCCGAAGGACCGAUACAUGGAAUACAUUGUGUACACCCGAUAGGUUCGGUGGUAGAGCAAGUCGAUAUGCUACCGGGCCUACACGCUCCAAAAUCUCAUAUGGUCCAAUGUAUCGAGGGCUCAACUUACCUCGGAUUCCAAAUCUUCUAAUUCCCUUGGUCGGCGAGACCUUCAAGAACACAUGGUCUCCAAUCUGAAACUCCAAGUUUCGUCGACGCCUGUCAGCAUAACUUCUCUGCCUACUCUGGGCUGUCAACAAUCGCUCUCGAGCAAUGCAAACCUUGUCCUCUGCUUCCUGGAGCACAUCUGGGCCUAAGGCCAAUCUCUCACCAACUUCACUCCAAUGAAGUGGCGAUCUACACUUCCGUCCAUAGAGUGCCUCGAACGGUGCCAUCUUGAUGCUUGCUUGAUAACUGUUGUUAUAAGCAAACUCUGCCAUCGGUAGAUGCUGCGACCAUCCUCCCCGGAAGUCAAUCACGCAGGCUCGAAGCAUGUCCUCGAGAGUCUGUAUAGUACGCUCCGACUGCCCGUCACUCUGAGAGUGAAAAGCUGUACUGAAGUCCAAACGCGUACCCAGAGCGUCCUGUAAGCUCCUCCAAAAGUGGGAUACAAAACGGGGAUCUCGAUCUGAAACGAUAGAAGUAGAUACCCCGUGCAAUCGCACAAUCUCAUCCAAGUAUACCUGUGCGAGUCUCUCACCAGUCCAAGUAGUGUGGAUAGGUAUGAAAUGUGCCGAUUUUGUCAAUCUAUCCACAAUCACCCAAAUAGCGUCAUGCCCGGCCUGUGAGCGAGGCAAUCCCAUCACGAAAUCCAUGGUGAUCUUUUUCCAUUUCCACACUGGAAUCGGUAGGCUCUGCAACUUCCCCGCAGGAACUCGGUGCUCAGCCUUAACCUGUUGGCAAGUCAAACAUCUGGCAACAAACUCACCAACAUCCUUUUUCAUCCCGGGCCACCAAUAAAGUAACUUCAAGUCCUUGUACAUCUUGGUGCCUCCCGGAUGUAUAGCAUACGGUACUCGGUGUGCUUCUUGAAGAAUGUCUUCUUUAAUGCCCAAGUCCGCCGGUACACAAAGCCGUCCGCGGAAACGCAUCAAUCCAUCACCGUCUAAGGUGAAGUCACCAGUGCAACCAUCAACCAUCUUAGUUCGAACCUUUUGCAACUCCGAAUCGGAAGCUUGCUUUUCUUUAAUCCUUUCCAAAAGUGUAGGUUGCACCACCAAAGCCAUCAGCCUCAAAGGCGUAUCAGGAGCCACCACCUCCAACUCCAACCGCUUCAUCUGCUCGAUCAACGGCGGUUGAGUAACCACAAGCAUCGCCAAGUUCUCCGUCGAUUUCCGACUUAGUGCAUCCGCCACCACGUUAGCCUUGCCCGGGUGGUAAAAUAUUGUCAAAUCAUAAUCCUUGAGUAGCUCCAACCAUCUGCGCUGCCUCAAGUUCAACUCCUUUUGAGUGAAUAGAUACUUUAAGCUCGUUGUGAUCUGUAUAUACUUCGCAUCGGCUCGCAUAGAGAUGUGGGCGCCAUAGCUUUCAAAGGCAAAGCCUACGGGCCCGCAACUCCAAAUCAUGGGAUAGGAUAGUUCCUUUCAUAUUCCUUCAAUUGGCGAGAUGCAAUACGCGAUACUCUUCACCGUCCUGCAUUAAGACAUCAGCCCAUAUCCAUUAAAGGAAGCAUGCACUUAUAAAUCACGUACCAUGCUCCCGCAGAUCGGCAAGGUAAAGGAUCGGGCAGUGCGUCAAUCGGCUGCUUCAACUCUUGCAAGCUCCUUUCCUACCGUCGUUCCACCCUGAAAUUUAGGUUCCUUUAUGCGUGAGCCUCGUGAGGGGGGUAGAUAACUUCGCAAAUCCUCAUCAAAUUACCGUCGGUAGUUAGCCGGCCAACCAAUGAAGCUCGUAUCUUGGUCACUCGUCGCCUCGGCCAUCCUUGAAUAGCUUCAAUUUUUCCUCCGGUCCACUGGCUAUGCCUGAUCCAGAAAUACAUGGCCCAAAAAGCCAGCCUCUCUACAGCCAAACUUCACGACUUUUUUCAACCUUGCAUANNNNNNNNNNNNNNNNNNNNNNNNNNNNNNNNNNNNNNNNNNNNNNNNNNNNNNNNNNNNNNNNNNNNNNNNNNNNNNNNNNNNNNNNNNNNNNNNNNNNAUAUGUAUUAAUAUGCAUUCACUUACUAGCAUGGUUUCUUAUCAUAUUAACAUGCACAUUAUAUUUAGCAUUUCUAGACUAUGUCAUCAACAUGCAUUUCAUUCUAUGCAUUAUAUUUACAUGCAUCCUUUAAUACUUAUAUGCAUCAACACGAAUUCUUAAUAUUCUUAGACAUAAGGGCGACCUAGUCGCUUCGGUAAGCACAACCCGGUUUGGCUCGAACUCUCGCACGACCACCCAAACGAUUUCCGAUUUGUGAUCCAGAAAUUAAAGGUCUUCGGUUAUGUGCCACAGUGCUUCAAAUCCGUUUUCAUGAUUUUACGACGUCGCCUCGGCCCUCCAGGCGGAAACGAAGCCUAAACGUCCGUUUCUUUAAUAACUUUGUAACGGCUCGUCGGAUUGCCGAACCGUCUUCGCCAACGCGUUUCGUUACCUAGCAAUUAGGUUUACAUAGGGUCAAAAUAGAUCAAACCCAUCUAUUAGCAAAAAUUACAUUUUGGAGCCCUAGGUUGCAACUAUGCAAGAAAUCAUCAAAUCCCUUCACGAAUUAAGCAUCAAUCAUCUAGAUAGCAUGCUAGGAUUCCUCUAAAUCCAUUUCUAAAGAUCAAAACCACAUAUCUAGAGAUCUACCAUGAGAGGGCUCAAGAAGCUCACCUCAAAAUUAGCUCCAAACCAUGGAGAAGACGAAGAAGAUGAAGACGAUCCAUUUCCAAACUUCAAUCUCCACCAAUUUCCUUGAUUUUAGGAGAGAUUUAGGGAGAGAAAGGGAAGUUCUCUCUCUCCCUUGCUUCAUGCGUGUGUGCGUGUGAUGCGUGUGUGUGUGUGUUGCAUUCGGCUGAGGAAAGAGAAGAAAAGGGAUUAAAUCCCUUUUUACAAAUCAGCCCCUCAACUUUACACUAUUCGCCUCGCGCAGCAGUUUAGCAGUUCGGAACAGUUGGAGUCCUUCUGAAUGUCCUUUUGAGCUCAAAUUUGACAGGCAGGCUCGGUUUAACGUACUGAAAAAGAAUAUAUCUUAAGUUAUCAGUUUCGACCCCAUUUGGUUACCGAAAACUGUACCGAACUGUAAUCUUUAUCAGAUAGCUGUCGGAUUUUAUUUCUCACUCUACAGGUGUCAGAAAAAUAUAAAACUUUAAAUCUAGUCUCAUAAAAAUAUUUCUGACAUCUCCGUCAAUUUUCAUAAUUUUCUGACACUAUGCAUUUUCUGCUAAUUUAUCUGCCCCAUUUUUUACAGAAAAUUCUAAAUCUUCUGUUUUUGCUCCGAUUUCAGCACAGGUCAUUCCCAACUUAUAUUUCAGUUCUCUAAAUCCAAUAAAAAUAGUAUCUCAUACUAUUUUUAUUUAUUUUCACUUUUAUAUUUAAAAUCCGGUAUGUGUUCCACCGCAACCUCACCGGAACCAUUUAAAUAUACACCGUAACUUCAUAGUUUUAGAGGUCUGGUACCUUACAUCCUCCCCUCCUUAAUAAGAGUUUCGUCCCCGAAACUCACUCACUUCAACCCAAUUCACACUCUAAUUCUCUUUAUUGAGUGACAAGGGGUACAGUGCACUUUUGCAUCUCGGAGUGGCCUUUCGCUCAUUGGAACUAUCCAAAGGCCCACUACGGAUGACAUGAGACUAGAUACACUCACAUUUGCCGUGUGUAAGUCCAAAAGUACAUUACGGGUCUCUGUCAUUCUUGGUGGUAGCGCAAGUUGAAACUCAACGACACUACGCGCUUCAACACCAUUCACCACUUGACAUACAAGAACUUUUCUUUGCAUUUACUUUUCCCUCAGGGUAUUACAAUUUGAUUACCAACCUUGCUUGAAGGCAAUAUCAUUGUGCAUCGCUUCAUCGUGAGUGUUCAAAUCGCAUUUGGAUCUUUGCUCUAUCAAGAGAUGGCCCACUCCGGCGCAUCUCGAUUCUGAAUCCAUAAUAGAGCAUUAUCCUCAAGUUCCUCAAUUUCUCCAACAUAACCCAGCCUUCCUGGGCAAUUUCAUAUUCGGGGACCGGUCUCUUCCUGCCUGGGGACCGGUUGCCCCGCGCUGCACAACCCUCAGCCUAGGGGCAACCGGUUCCUCCUUCCUGGGACCGGUCCCCGAGAGCAAGCUUGCGCAGACCAUGUUCGGGAACCGGUCCCUCCCGCCAGGGACCGGUCCCCGAGAGCAAAUCUGCCAAGUGCAGAUUCUUGCACCAUUUGCUCUCGCGGACUCCAUUGCAAUGCACUUUUGGUGCAUUUGACUUCUUCGGCUUUCACGAAGCACUCCCACUCGACAAUUAGUCGAUCCUGAGCGAAGUCCAACUCUCGUAUUUCGAGAAUUCACUUCCUUACUCUAACUCCUCCACAGAGUUAUUGGCUAAACCGUUUACGUCGGCUUUCACAGGCGGACCAAUGGUCGCAAACACUACGUAGGUCUAUCGCCUAACGUGUCUCAACUACGCGUAGCAUUUCCUGCUCGCAACGUAGACCCAAUCCUCAAUUUUCGGGCGAAAUUCUCACUUGGGAAUUCGCGCCCACUCCAAACAGGAGCAACCAAGACCCCAAACCACGUCAAGUCCUCGGGUUGGGUCACAACACACUAGGUGUAUCCUCGAUCUUACGAUCCACCACGUGGCAUUCCACGCACCCGGGUCUAAGCUCGGACUACCGUCCUGACCAACUCUCUGCCCUACCUAUANACUUCAAACAGUGCACGGCUAGGGGCACCUUGUCCCGCUCCAAGGUGUACAGCUCCUCGAAGAGUGUUUCCAUAGCGUCAAUCCACAUCUCCACGAUCCAUGGAUCGACAUUCUCUCCAUCGAAAACAGGCAGAUCAAACUUCUUGAAGGUCAUUAGGGCAGUCAAAGCCCGCUCUUUCUCCGCCUCCAUUUCCACAGAAUCAGAGGCCACUACCCCUGAAUCCAUCACCACUCCUGCCGGUACACGACGUGCUGCUACCGGCGCAGCCGCCGCAGUCUGUCGUGCCAACAACUCAUGGAGCUCCUUGAUCUGCUCCUCCUGUCGCACCACUACGCCCAUGAGCGUACUCAUCUGCUCGCAGAGCACCGGGUCUCCGCUCGCCUCGGAUUGCUCAGGGACGUCACUUGUCCCAUCCCGUGUCGAUCUAGACGAAGGUCGCCUACGCGGUGCCAUCGUUCCCUGAAAUACGACAACUCAAUUAAUUCUCAACCCUCUGGGUCAAGCACGAGACAAUUUAACAUUGACUCAAAUCGGGCGAAAGUCACGCAAGGGCGUCUAUUCUCAUCACUCAGUUUCAUGUUGUGUGCACCCAACAUGAACACCCUCGGUUGAGAAUAAACCACACCUCGAGUCUACCUCUAAUAUCCGUCAUAGAGGUUUCAACACAACCCAAUCAAUGAACCUUUCGCCAUAAGUCACAAGUCCUCGUCUCUCACGAGCCUUAUUCUCCUAUGGUUUACUAUCCUAGGGUCUCCUAGGUCCAUCCAAACCAUUGCCCAUUCUCUACUUUAUGCUCUGAUACCACUUUAUCUGUCACGCCCCGGGCCUCGCCAAUUUGGCCGAGUUCGGGCGCGUCGACAGACUGCCGAACGGACAGAGUUUCCCCUGUACGUCCUGAGCGUCGCAAUCAAUACAAUGAACAUUACAAGGGUUCCAACUAGGAACAGAUAUCAAUCAUGAUUGCAAAAGGAAAGUAUCACAACAUAACACAUCCUAUGUUAUUACAUGCAUUCACAAUAAUACAUUUACUUUACAUCCAACUCCCAAAUGCAAUUAAGUUAUUACAUCAUUUGCUUAUUACAAAUUGAUGCAUUGUAUUCUUUUCAUUUCCCAAACCCCAAGGCUAUGUCGACGGGGUAUUGCUAUCUCUGGUCUCUGGGUAGGACGCUAUCUAUAGAGUUACGUCCUUUCCUCGCGCCGCCGCGCCGCUCACGUGCGAACCUGAAACACCCCGAAACAACGUGGGGUGAGAACUAACUCCAUGGUUCCCAGUGGGUACGGCCACCCAAGGGAAGUGCUCAACUGAUAGGUCCAAGGAGGCAACAACAUGUUAGUUCAAUAGAUAAAUAUGAAAUCAUAAUUUAAAUGCAACUAACAUAUAUCAUGCUUUGCCUCACAAUAUGCAACAAGAAUAUUAUGCAACUAUGCAACUGUAUAAACAACUAGUAGAUGUGUUGAUUCUACGUUUACUUUGCUAACUUUAGCUCAUUUCAUUCAAUUAUAAGGUUUCUAUUACCUUAGGUUCUUGCCUCAAUCACUAGCUUAUAAGGUUUCCAUUAACCUAAUCAAGCUAACCACCCGACUCGGCCUCGAGUCAAUCAUCCGCGGAUAGUCCGCGCACUGAAUGCACAUCAGCCUGGCUGCCGUCACAGCCUACCGCAAAUCUGACUUAACCAUCUGGUGGCGAAUUCAUCGCAUCGAACCCAACAACAACUCAAGUCAUGACUUAGCCAUCUGGCGGCGAACUAAUCGCACCUCACCCAACAAUGGUUCAAGAUGUGACUUAGUCAUCUGGCAGCGACCACAUCGCUCUUACCGAGCAAGGUUCAAGUCAUUCUAGGCGGCAUCAUCUGAUAAGCUAAUGGGCGAGGAGAACCACACAUACCCAAUUCAAGCUUAUUCUCAUGGCAUCCCGGGCGAGGAGAAUCACACAUACCCGUUGAAUCACUGCCUGGCGAGGAGAACCACACAUACCUACAGUUAGGAUUCGCUUGCCAUCUCUUUUACCACAAUUUCCACCGCGCCAUGUGCGGCCACAUCACUAGGGAUUCCGGAAUCCACUUCAUAUAUCUCAUACUAUUUUUAUUUAUUUUCACUUUUGUAUUUAAAAUCCGGUAUGCGUUCCACUUCAACCUCACCGGAACCAUUUAAAUAUACACCGUAACUUCAUAGUUUUAGAGGUCCGGUACCUUACAAGACCCAACAUACCCACAGUUCUGAUUCACUUGCGCUCGGUCGCAUGUCUCAUCCGCUGCACGUGCAGCAGCUGCACUACCAUCCUUCAUUCCUAGGGAUUUCGGAAUCCACGUUCACAUCUCUAGGGUUGGUCUUAUACCCUAUAGUGUCGACCUAUUUAGGUCCAAGUCAUUUCUCAACCUAAGGUUUAUAACAUUAGGUCCAAUGCUACUAAGUUCAUAGCCUAUGUUCUACAACACUAGGUUCCAUGUUCUUUACUACUUAGGUUCAUUUGACUCUAGGUUCAAUGUCACAAUAUUCAUAACCUAGGUUAACUUGACUCUAGGUUCGAUGUCACUCGUGUCAUUACCUAGGUUUACUUGACUCUAGAUUUGAUUCUUAACCUAUGUUCAAUGACACUAGGUUUCAUUGCCAUUCGCCAUACUUGUGAUCCUAAUUAUUCACACUUAGGAUUCUUAAUUGACAUGCCACACAAUGUUCACAUUUUCCUAAUUGUCCAUACCUAGGAUUCUUAGUUGACAUUUACAUCUAGGCAUACAUAUCUUUUAUGCUUACUCAUGCCUAUGUCUUUAUCAUUCAAUGGUAAUCAACAUGUCUCAUGCAUUCUUUAUUAGCAUAUAUGUAUCAUGCAUUCAUCAUUAGUAUAUAUCCCAUGCAUUCCUUAGCAUACAUCUUAUACAUUCAUUUAGUAUUUAGCCCUUACAUUCACUUAGCAUACAUUCUAUGCAUUCUUUAUUAGCCUCUACUUCAUGCAUUCAUAUAGCAUCUCAUGCACAUGCCUAGGUUCUUAUCAAAGUGGUAGUCAAUAUACAUUUUAGCAUACAACUCAUACAUUCUUUAACAUCUAUCUCAUGCCUCAUGCAUUCAUAAUUAGCAUCUUUAUCAUGCAUUCAUAAUUAGCAUAUAUCUCAUGCAUCAUUUACAAUGUGGACUACCAUUACUUGCAUUCAUUGCUUGGCACAUAUCACAUGCAUUAUUUAGCAUCUAUCACAUGCAUUCAUUUAGCAUUUAACUCAUGCAUUCACUCAACAUAUACUCUAUACAUUCAUUAGCAUCUAGCUCAUGUUAUUUAUUUAGCAACUAGCUCAUGUAUUUAGCAUCUAGUUCAUGCAUUAUUCACUUGGUAAUUAACUACCACUUCAUGCAUCAAUAAUGAGACAUACACCACUUUGGCAUGGAAGCGACCUAAUCGCUUCGGUAGAGCACAACCCACCUAAUAUUGCUCUCCGAUUGCUUGUAGUCACUUGUAACCAGCCUCCCGCGGCACACGUGUCCGGUUUGGCUCGCACUCGCAAACGAUCACCGAACACACGUCGAUUCUCAACUUUGAGUCAUCAAGAGUCCUUCUCUAACCUUCAAUUAAAGAAAUACAGGGUUAAAUGAGAUCAAAACCCUCAUUUGCUACAAAACCCCAUUCUAAACCUAGCCUCUACACAUGCUAUUCAUGGAGGAAACCUGCUAACAACACAUUAGAGGCUACUAGAACACCAAGCAUUAAGGAUUUAACCAAAAUCCUAACACUUACCAAAUUGCGAAUACCAAGUCGAAAGCAUGCCGCUCAAACGGCCGCAUGAGGACCCGAACCGUUGCCUCCAACACGUUCCUAAGCUUGCUAUCCACAAACCCUCCAAUUUUGGGAGAGAAAUAUAAAGAGAGAGGUGAGAUAUCUAGAGAGAGAGAGGAGAGUUUCUCUCACCUCUAUGGUGUGUGUCACGCCCCGCCCCGAAUCCACUACCAAUUUGGCACGGUUCGGGCACAUCAGACGGACCGCCGAACGGACAGUACCUCUCCUGUCCGCCCAAGGCCAAGCAACCAGAUCAUGUACAAUUAAGCACCCAGGAAUUUGCUUAAAUAACAUACAUGAUCAAAUACGAUGCACACAAGUGCAAUACAUCUAAGAGCAAGAACCACAAGUGAUAUACAAGUGUAUAAAGAGAGAUAGUCUAACUAUCACAAUCAUUCAACAUUUACAUUAUUUAUUUUCAUCUUCCAAAAUGUAAGUACAUGUUUUCUUCAAAAUACAAGUAGCUCUCUGAUAUCUAUCCAAAAUAUCAACUAGUACACGAGGGUACUCUAAUGCAUAAGGAAAAGCUACUAACUAGGCUCACUUAGGGCGCUAUGCCCUUGCCGCGGUCCUCGCUCGGCUCGCCUCUAUGUGUACCUGUACCCCAAAACCACACGGGGUGAGAACUAUAUAAAUAUAGUUCCCAGUGGGUUCGGCCGCCGACGCCGCCGGUUUUCCCACUAGGUCUAAGCUGGCACAGAUAGAGAGAUAGAUAGAUAGAUAAAAGUAAACUGCGACUACUCUAUCAUGCCAUCAACGAUGAUAAUGCAUGCAACAACUACUAUCAUGCGAGAAUCAUGUCAUGAGUAUAGAAAAGUACAUAGUAAUGCAAUCUACAACAUACACUAUGUCUACUCGAGGUAAUGCAUGAACAUAGCAAUGAUAUUCUACUAAUCAUGAUACUAUGCUUCAACAAUAAUGGAAAUGAGCUACUACAUAGUGAUGUAUCUACAACAUGCUACUAUGUCUCAAUGUCAACUCAAGGUAUGAAUGCAAAUCUGCUAUGCCAUUCAUAUUCUUUACCCAAUCUGCUUGGAAAUGAGCUACUACAUAGUGAUGUAUCUGCACAUGCUACUAUGCCUCAAUAAUCCAAAUGAACGAGCUACACAGUGCGUCGUGCAACUAUGCCUCGGUAGUAUCCAAUCUCAUGGCCAACCCGAAGGUUGCCACCCCGGGGUCAACCCCGACUCACUCUCAAUCUCAUAGGUGAGGAGAAACUGCACUCGCACACCGAGACCGUCUGCGGGACAACUACGUCUGCCCCUAGUGAAGUACUCCGGAGACUCGUGCCUCGGUGGAGCGACCACCGACAAGCAAAAACAGACUAGUGAGUAUGAUCCAAUCCUCACAAGAGGAUACCCUAUCUACAAGGGUCAACGUGCCUCUGCUGCACAAUGUACAAUGCAUCCUAGAUGCCGGGAUCUCUACUAUCCCUAAGUACAUGUCGAGUUUACUACACUAGACUCAAUGCCACUCGUUUAGUCAUUGUAGUAAAUGUCUCAAUUAUUCUACAUGUUAUUUGUUCAUGUCAUAGUGUCUCUCCUACACUAGUUCAAUGCCACUCUACUAGGCUAUGUCCAAAUUCAUCACUUUUGCCACUAUAGGAUUCUUUGUCUCAAGACCCAAUCCUCAUGCCUCCCUAGUCCAAGUGUUAGGUCCAUACCGCUACACUACUAAGUAAGCAUGCAAGGAAUGGAAAUAUACUUUACUAAUCCUAUAAUGCUCAAUCAAUAUAUGAUGAAUAAAAUUAACUUAGGCAUAAAAGGAAACCCGGAUGUUUCGGGAUGACACCCCCCACCUUUUACCGCUAUCACGAGGCUAGGUUCUCAAUUGCACGUUCCCUAGUCGCCGCUUUACUCUUCGGUCGCACCUGCUCGACGAAUCGACGAACCGACGCUUCACACGCGUUUAGGCACCUCAAACACAAGCUUUUCCUCAAACCAAGUAAUGAAGAGGAUGAAGACUUCACCUCCAAGCAACCUUUUUCUUCUCCAAAUGCACCUCCAAUUCCUCUCUUUGGUGGAGAAAUUGUUAGAGAGAGAGAGAUAUUUCUCUUUGGUUGCAAGUGUGAGGGAGAAAGAAAGAAAAUGCUCAAGUCCCCUAUAUAUAUAUAGGAAACUUGGCCUCCAAGUUUCAUAGGAAACUUGGUCUCCAAGUGUCAUAGGAAACUUAGCCUCCAAGUUUCAUAGGAAACUUGGCCUCCAAGUUAUCUAGGAAACUUGGCCUCCAAGUUAUCCAAGAACACUAUUCACAUUCAGUUUAGCAGCACGGUACAGAUAUUAUUCGUCUGCCCUGUCUCUCACAGAAAAUUCUAAAGCUUCUGUUUUCGCUUCCAUUUCAACACGGGUCACUCUAGACUUAUAAUUUAUGUCUAUAAGUCCAAUAAAAAUAGUAUCCCACACUAUUUUUAUUUAUUUACACUUUUACAUUUAAAAUCCGGUAUAUUACAUUCCACCGCAACCUCACCGGAAUUACUUAAAUGUACACCGUAACUUCAUUAUUUUUAGAAGUCCGGUACCUUACAGUGUGUGCGUGUGGUGUUGGCGACUGUGGGAGAGGGAGGAAUAAGACAAGCUUCUAAUACACAAAUAACCCCCAAAAUACUAUUACAACUAGCAGUUUUCAGAAUCUGGUACUUUUCGCCGGAGCCCUUCUGAAUGUCCGUGUCACGCCCCGGGACCCAGCGGAAGCCCGCCCGUGUCACGCCCCGGGACCGGCGGAGGCCCUCACGGUAGCAUGCCCAGACCCGCCAUAUGUCUACACAUAUAAGGCGUCUACAAUAAAAAGCGGAAGUAAAGCAAGAGAUAGAACAAAUAAAAGAAGUAAAAUAACUAGCAGCUAAUGAUAUCAGAGCGAGUAAAGUUCUAUCAUCUACACCAAAGUCAAGAAAUAAAGCUAGACAAUAAAAAAAACCAUAA
rnacentral:lncRNA from 1 species